rnacentral:tRNA from 2 species
UGGGUUGGUGAUCUAGUUCGGUUAUGAUACCUCCUUCACACGGAGGAAGUCGGCGGUUCGAAUCCGCCCCAACCCAUCC